GUCGCUCCUACCGAUUGAGUGAUCCGGUGAAUUAUUCGGACUGACGCAGUGCUCAGCUUCUGGACGUUGUGUUAGAAAGUUUCAUGAACCUUAUCACUUAGAGGAAGGAGAAGUCGUAACAAGGUUUCCGU
rnacentral:rRNA from 1 species